UACAGAGGGUGCAAGCGUUGUUCGGAAUUAUUGGGCGUAAAGCGCGCGUAGGCGGCUUUGCAAGUCGAGUGUGAAAGCCCCCGGCUCAACUGGGGAGGGUCACUCGAUACUGAUCGACUCGAAGGCAGAAGAGGGAAGCGGAAUUCCCGGUGUAGUGGUGAAAUGCGUAGAUAUCGGGAGGAACACCAGUGGCGAAGGCGGCUUUCUGGUCUGCUCUUGACGCUGAGGCGCGAAAGCUAGGGUAGCAAACGGG
rnacentral:rRNA from 1 species